GAUGAACGCUGGCGGCGUGCCUAAUACAUGCAAGUCGAGCGAACAGACGAGGAGCUUGCUCCUCUGACGUUAGCGGCGGACGGGUGAGUAACACGUGGAUAACCUACCUAUAAGACUGGGAUAACUUCGGGAAACCGGAGCUAAUACCGGAUAAUAUAUUGAACCGCAUGGUUCAAUAGUGAAAGAAGGUUUUGCUGUCACUUAUAGAUGGAUCCGCGCCGCAUUAGCUAGUUGGUAAGGUAACGGCUUACCAAGGCAACGAUGCGUAGCCGACCUGAGAGGGUGAUGUGCCACACUGGAAAUGGGACACGGUCCAGACACCUACGGGAGGCAGCAGUAGGGAAUCUUCCGCGAUGGGCGAAAGCUUGACGGAGCAACACCGCGUGAGUGAUGAAGGUCUUCGGAUCGUAAAACUCUUUUAUUAGGGAAGAACAAAUGUGUAAGUAACUAUGCACGUCUUGACGGUACCUAAUCAGAGAGCCACGGCUAACUACGUG
rnacentral:rRNA from 1 species